GUGAAUAAUUUAAAACUAUUCUACUUGUUAAUACCUACGCGCAAAAUGGGAAAAAAUAAGAUAUUCUAACCGGAGAUUGCAUUGACCUAAUUUUCACAUGGUCCUUGUUUACAUUUUGCAUUUGACACUGACAGCUGUCAAGUGCCACGUUAUGGCUCUUCUUGUGUAAGUUUUAUUUUUUAGGGUUUUUCUUUUGUAAGUUUAACUUUGGGUACUUCGAAAGUGUCAUUUUAAAUUGUACUUUGCUAGGUGUUCGUGUACACGAUGUGUUGUGAUGACAUCUGCUGUGGAGUCUUCAUGUUGUCAAGAAUUUGAAAAGAUGAGCCAAUACUCUGAGCUGGAACCAGAUAAGGCCCCACUAAGCUGCAUCACUGACCACCCAAGUUUCCAGGGCAAUUGUCUAGACCACUGGGUGCUGGAAGUUGCCUAUCUACAAUACAGGCAACAGUACCAUCAGGCUAUGGAUUUUCCACAGCACGAAAAAUACAGACACACAGCAUACAGACAAUUGGUCCGUUGGUGUUGGGGAGUUGUUGGUCGCCACUACAGAAUACCGUUGCCCUCUUGCUGUGUGAGAAAGAUACGGGCCAGCUUCCCUAACCCUCAUGGACAGCCAUACACUGGUUUCAAGUGGCCAACGCUUUGACUCAUUUUCAUGAAUGACUGUCUUUUAUAUUGUAAUAUCAUGACCAGAAAAAUUAUUAUAAUGUAAAAUGAUAUUUUGAGAGUAAACAUACUUUCAUGGUUUUGCCACA